GAACGCGUGGCGGCGUGCCCUAACACAUGCAAGUCGAACGGAGUUAUUCGAGGAAAGGUUUUCGGUAUGGAAUCAAAUAACUUAGUGGCGGACGGGUGAGUAACGGCGUGGGAAACCUGCCCUGUACCGGGGGAGUAACACUUAGAAAUAGGUGCUAAUACCGCAUAAGCGCACGGGACCGCAUGGUCCAGUGUGAAAAACUACCGGUGGUACAGGAUGGUCCCGCGUCUGAUUAGCCAGUUGGCGGGGUAACGGCCCACCAAAGCGACGAUCAGUAGCCGGCCUGAGAGGGUGGACGGCCACAUUGGGACUGAGACACGGCCCAAACUCCUACGGGAGGCAGCAGUGGGGAAUAUUGCACAAUGGGGGAAACCCUGAUGCAGCGACGCCGCGUGAGUGAAGAAGUAUUUCGGUAUGUAAAGCUCUAUCAGCAGGGAAGAAGAUGACGGUACCUGAGUAAGAAGCCCCGGCUAACUACGUGCC
rnacentral:rRNA from 1 species